UGAUCUUAUAUAAGUUGUAGAAUCUUUGGCUAGGAAAUAAUCUCUUAAAUUUCUAAACAUUUUGAUAUUGUUAUUAAUUUGUUAUUCAUUUGAAUUGUUAAUGUAAACUAUAAUGCAUUACUACAUAAAUUUCAUCUAGCAUUGAAGGUGACAAGCUGACAAGCUCCUUGAGAAUGAUUAAACAAGGUUGAGGUGAUACUGUCGUUAAAAGAAGGCUAUUUGUGUCUGGUAAUGGCUCAAGUUGUUGUCGCUGAUCAUAUGUUGUGCUGUCUACAUAAUCAUUGCUGGCUACAUCAAAAGCCAGGCCCUGAGGAUUGUACGUGUAUCCAUUUGGAGUGUUUUGCAUUAAAAAACAUUUUUCUGAGAAUGGAUUCCUUAGGCUUCACUGACUGGCAAAGGGUCCAUGGAACGAAAAAGGUUAAGAAUCCUAGUCAGUGCAAUGCAAGUAAGUUUUGGUGUGGCAAG